AUACGGACCGGACAGGUGAGAUAGCAUCAACAGGAAGGUGUGUCUCCCAGGCAAUGCUCAUCUGUUGCCCUUGGGGUGUGCUGACUCUUUUUUUUUAAUUUUCCCAGAUGCAAGAAACCCAGCUGCAUAAUUUGUGGUAGUGGGGAUUGCAUUUGUGUCUCCUUG